rnacentral:rRNA from 1 species
GACGAACGCUGGCGGCGUGCCUAAUACAUGCAAGUCGAGCGGACGGAUGGGAGCUUGCUCCCAGACCGUCAGCGGCGGACGGGUGAGUAACACGUGGGCAACCUGCCUGUAAGACUGGGAUAACUCCGGGAAACCGGGGCUAAUACCGGAUAACUCUUUCCCUCCCAUGAGGGAAAGCUGAAAGAUGGCAUCUCGCUAUCACUUACAGAUGGGCCCGCGGCGCAUUAGCUAGUUGGUGAGGUAACGGCUCACCAAGGCGACGAUGCGUAGCCGACCUGAGAGGGUGAUCGGCCACACUGGGACUGAGACACGGCCCAGACUCCUACGGGAGGCAGCAGUAGGGAAUCUUCCGCAAAGGACGAAAGUCUGACGGAGCAACGCCGCGUGAGUGAUGAAGGUGUUCGGAUCGUAAAACUCUGUUGUCAGGGAAGAACAAGUACCGGAGUAACUGCCGGUACCUUGACGGUACCUGACCAGAAAGCCACGGCUAACUACGUG